GAAACGUGUUCUGCUGACCUGGCAAACCCUAUUCAACCAAGUUCCAGAUGGUAUAUCAGUAAUUGGUUAAGAACUUGCACAGAGUUCACUUCAAGACAAACUAUGCAUGGAAAGUUUCUAUUUUUGGAUCCUGGAUGUGUUUCUGUUGUUGGUUACCUUCCACACGAGAUGAUUGGAACGAUGAUGUAUGAAUACAUUCACGUCGAUGAUUUUGAAAAUAUCUACAACAGCUUUGAAAAGUAGAGAACGCCCAAUGAACGAAAUAUUACGGAUGAUCAUGAUCAUUACCCAACCAAUGACUUUCAACAGAGUAUGAAGAAGUAUGAAACAUUCUGCUCUAAUGCUAUGAAUUAUAAUAAAUAAACGAUGGCUUUAGGUUAAAUAUGCGUAAUCUUAUAAAAAGAUUACCUUUGGGAUGGUCUUACAUAGGGAUUAUAUAAAAAGUAUUA